rnacentral:tRNA from 2 species
GCCCUCGUAGCUCAGCUGGAUAGAGCGCACCCCUCCUAAGGGUGAGGCCAGAGGUUCGAAUCCUCUCGGGGGCACCA